GCUGAGAAAAAAAUUCGAGGUGAAACCUGCCCAGUGGUUGAUUAUUGGGGGUUAUAAACCUAAAAUUCAAUUAAACGGAUGCGGUAUUUUGGCCGUAGUAAAGUAGCAUAAUCACUCGCCACUUAAUUGGUGGAUAGUAUGAAAGGUCAAMCGAGUUUUUAACUSUCUKARAAAGAAAAUUAUGAAGUNGAAAUAGUAGU
rnacentral:rRNA from 1 species